rnacentral:lncRNA from 1 species
CCUGCGUGGACGCCCGAACCGGGGGCAGCCUGGCCUUCCCGCCGGGCACCUGCUCUUCAGAGCCCCUGUCGCUCUAGCCGCGAGUCCUCACUCCUGCAAGGGUUGGAGGUCCCCUCAAAGCCCGGUCCCUGAGGAAGGGAUAGCGGGAUGUGGAGGUCUCCCUGAGCUCCCUGAGCUUUGCUUCGGGCCAGCCUCUUCUACCAAAACCGCUGAGACUGAGGGCGGGGAGAAAGAGCCGGUUGGAACUGGACCGCUCCAGGCAGGGGAAAACCUGAGUGGGCGGGAGCCACCCUUGGCCGAGGGUCUUGGGGACGGGGAGCUCAGGUCACUAGAGGGCCUUGCGUGUGCAGCAGAUCGCCUGGGCUGCGCAUACGUCCUGGUUCGCGGGGUCCAAGUAAAACUCACAGAUGGGAACCGAGACUUUGGUAGCCAGAAAAAAAAAAAAGCC